AACCAAACCUUAUCCUCUCCCUCUCCAAUCUCCCUCUUCCUCUCCUCAGAUCCGUGUGCUCGGCUCCUUCCUCCCCUCUUUUCUCCCCGCUUUUCCCAUCCAAUCCCGGCGGCGGCGGUGGCUCGGUGACGAGAGGAGUAGCAGUGGUAGUGGUGGCUCAAUGACGAGGAGGGGCGGCGAGAGCUCGGCGACAGGGAAGGGCGGCGAGAGCUCGGUUCCUCCCUCCCCUCUUCUCCUCUCCAAUCCCGGCGGCGGCUCGGCGACAAGUAAGGACGGCGGGAGCUCGGCUCCUUCCGGCAACUGAUGGGAGAAGACGCCCCUUGUGGAGAGCUGCUGCCGGUGCUGCCGUCGUCGUCAGCGCCGCCGUCGCAACCAAGGGGACACGGCUUCCUUGCUGGAGAGCUGCUGCCGGUGUUGCCGUCGUCGUCCUCCCCCGCCGAUUACGAGUGCUACGUCCACUACACCGAGUAAACCUGUCGAAUGGGAGGCACCAUCAUAAUUAUAUGAUCCAGCAUUAUGAAGUAACCAUCAACUGAUCUAAGCUGGGAGAGUACUGUAAGCUGUGGCACCGGGGAUGGCCAACCUCAUUGGCUACUGCUGCGACAGCGACGAGCGGCUUCUCAUCGCCGAGUUCAUGCCCAACGACACCCUCGCCAAGCACCUCUUCCACUGAGUUUCCUCCCUCCCUCCAGUCCCCUGCAAUUUAACUCCGGGUCUCUAUAUUCCCCUCCCAUUUGAUGAUCCUACCAACGAUUGGAUCCUUUUGGUCAUAAUGGAUGUUGCUGUGCUUCGUGUGCUACCUCUUCAGUUCUGUAGUUACGCAGCCAAUGGUGCAGCGAGCUUGGAUUUUUAUGAUGAAAUGGCUAGCUUCGGUAGCUGAUUUAGAAUUUUGCAGCGGCAAAAUAAAAAGUGAUAGCUGAAGGAAAAUCUUGGAUUCAUGGUAGUAUUCAUGCACAUCAACUGGCAUUAGACAAUCUCACAUUUUGCCUGCUUAAUUUACACACAAUCAAAGCUUAAUUCUAUGUUAACAUCAGGAUUUUGUUGUGCCUAAGUAACACCUCUUUUGCUAUGGAUAGAUGAAUCGGAAGCAGCAAGGAAGCAUAUGUCCUUUGUCGUUUGAUUGGCCUCAACACUCAGGUCAACCUCAAUAAGGUUUUUGUCUAUUCUCUUAAUGUUACCUUGCUAAUUCAAGAUCUUUUGAUUCGUGUGACUUGGAUAUGACUUUGCUUAGGUCAAUGUGUGAACGACUAUUUGGCAUUUGGCUGGAUUUGGUGGUCAGUGACUUGUACUAGUGAUGUAUUGACCUGGUCAGUGAACCUGUGAUGUAAUUGAACAUGUUUUGGAUGGUGAUUUGUGGAUGUAAUUAACUGACUUGUCAUGUAACUUACUUGAGGAUAACAUGUGAUCUUUUUUUUUUCUGAAUUUGUGAUAGCCUGUUUUGUGAAUUUGUAUUAAAUAUGAGCUGAAUGUUGUUAAUUGGGCUGUAAGAUGCUAGAUAUGUGGAUGUUAAUUGGGUUUUGUAUUGGAUUUUAA